CCUACGGGAGGCAGCAGUGAGGAAUAUUGGUCAAUGGGCGCGAGCCUGAACCAGCCAAGUCGCGUGAGUGAAGACGGCCCUACGGGUUGUAAACCCCUUUUGCCGGGGAGCAACGGGCGUCACGUGUGGCGCCACUGAGAGUACCCGGAGAAAAAGCAUGGGCUAACCCGGUGCCAGCAGCCGCGGUAAGACGCGGGAUGCGAGCGUUAUCCGGAUUGAUUGGGUUUAAAGGGGGCGUAGGCGGUUCGUUAAGUCAGUGGGAAAAUUGAGGGGUUAAACCCCUUCCCGCCAUUGAAACUGGCGCUCUUGAGUGUAAGAGAGGUAUGCGGAAUGCGUGGUGUAGCGGUGAAAUGCAUAGAUAUCACGCAGAACCCCGAUUGCGAAGGCAGCAUGCCGGCUUCCGACUGACGCUGAAGCACGAAAGCGUGGGGAUCGAACAGGAUUAGAUACCCGUGUAGUC
rnacentral:rRNA from 1 species